AACGAACGCUGGCGGCAUGCCUAACACAUGCAAGUCGAACGAGACCUUCGGGUCUAGUGGCGCACGGGUGCGUAACGCGUGGGAACCUGCCCUUAGGUUCGGAAUAACUCCCCGAAAGGGGUGCUAAUACCGGAUCAUGUCUUCGGACCAAAGAUUUAUCGCCUUUGGAUGGGCCCGCGUUGGAUUAGCUAGUUGGUAGGGUAAAAGCCUACCAAGGCGACGAUCCAUAGCUGGUCUGAGAGGAUGAUCAGCCACACUGAGACUGAGACACGGCCCAGACUCCUACGGGAGGGAGCAGAGGGGAAUAUUGGACAAUGGGCGAAAGCCUGAUCCAGCAAUGCCGCGUGAGUGAUGAAGGCCUUAGGGUUGUAAAGCUCUUUUACCCGGGAUGAUAAUGACAGUACCGGGAGAAUAAGCUCCGGCUAACUCCGUG
rnacentral:rRNA from 1 species